AUCGAAGCCCCAUUUCCGUAGGAGCGAAGUCGAAUGGCGCCCCCAGCGGCUUGGGGUGGGAUCUCAGUGCCUCAUUCCUGGCGGCCCCGGGAGGGCGAUGCCAAGUUUCGCUCUUGUUCCCUGGGCUGCAGUGCAGUGGCACCAUCUCGGCUCACCGCAACCUCCGCCUCCCAAGUUCAAGCGAUUCUCCUGCCUCAGCCUCCCCAGUAUCUGGGAUUACAGUAAAAUUAAAACAGGCACAAUGAUAUCCUGGAUGACAAGAGCUGGAGGCUGUCAUUCUAACAAUGUAGUGAGACUGGCUGUCUUGUCUCAUGCCCACCCCUGGAAACAUGCGCAGGAACUCAAAGCACCUAGCACAGAGGAAGUGUCUGGUUGUUUUAAAGGAAAAACAAAACCAAAAAAAGCACCUCCUGCUCUGACCACCCCUAUUUCCAGUUUUCCCUUUUGGCACAGCAAAGAUGACCUUGGGACUGAGGUGGAACCAUGUAAUUCUUCGUAAUCCCAGAGUCAGGCAGACCUGGGAGAUAACAUCCAUCUCGAAGGAAGAUCUGGCCUGAAGAGCAGUCACUCUUGCCUGGCAUGCAGAGAAUGCCAAAUCAUAUUAAUGACUGGCCAGAAUGAAGUGCGUGACCUCAUCACUCCAUAACUGACAGGAAACAACUGCUAGGGCAAGAAAAAAGGGUCUCCAGUGAGUAUUCUUGUCCACACACAUCCCCACUCACGUUCCUGGACCACUGCAUCUAACUGCCGCAGCAGCUAAUGAACCUUCUGGAAUAAAGGACCAGUUUCUUAAGAAGGGAUUGAGACCUCCAGUGGCCUCCCACAUUGUUUCCGGCAAGAAUUUAAAAAUUAUUUGUAACAUAUAGUAAUAAAAACUAACCACAGGCUGGGCGCAGUGGCUCACGCCUGUAAUCCCAGCACUUUGGGAGGCUGAGGCAGGUGGAUCACCUGAGGUCAGGAGUUCGAGACCAGCCUGACCAAUAUGGUGAAACCCUGUUUCUCCUAAAAAUACAAAAAUUAGCUGGGCAUGGUGGUGGGCGCCUGUAAUCUCAGCUACUCAGGAGGCUGAAACAGGAGAACUGCUUGAAUCUGGGAGGUAGAUGUUGCAGUGAGCCGAUAUCGCGCCAUUGCACUCCAGCCUGGGCAAUGACUCCGUCUCAAAAAAAAAAAAAAAAAAAAAAAACUAACCACAGCUACUAUUUAUGAACUCUAGUGCCACACCCCAUUUCUUCCCAGGUUUCACCCCCUCUUCCCAGGUUUCACCCACCCCAACCAGUGUUGUUUGCAACACUUCAGCUUCUCUCCUCACGAAGCACGUCUCCAGAGACGCCUCUUCCGCAACUUCCCAGGGAAGCCAUUUCUGCCUGGACCCACCACAGCUCCCAACCUGUCACGCACCCCUGGAGGGUUUUGCUCUGUAAUCCUGAUUUAGAAAUCCUCUUAUAUGAAACCACUGUAAUCCACAUCUGGUUAGACAAUUGGAAAAGUUCAUUGAAAGGAGAAAUAAUAAAAAUGGCAUCCAUCCCUUAAAUGUUGUAUGCCAACGUAAAACACAUUCGACAAUGACCCUGGGCUAAGGCUCUACCUUACAGAGAAACCUGUAUCGGUGUUCCCCUCCAUUUUCCUUACAUAAACCAACCAAAAAUCUUCAGUUGUUCCGUUCUCUGUCUCUCUCCCUCUCCACACCCACCUUCCCUCUUCCUCUCU
rnacentral:lncRNA from 1 species